rnacentral:rRNA from 1 species
UGAGGAAUAUUGGUCAAUGGACGCAAGUCUGAACCAGCCAAGUAGCGUGCAGGAUGACGGCCCUAUGGGUUGUAAACUGCUUUUAUAUGGGGAUAAAGUGGGGAACGUGUUCCCUUUUGCAGGUACCAUAUGAAUAAGGACCGGCUAAUUCCGUGCCAGCAGCCGCGGUAAUACGGAAGGUUCGGGCGUUAUCCGGAUUUAUUGGGUUUAAAGGGAGCGUAGGCCGUUUGGUAAGCGUGUUGUGAAAUGUAGGAGCUCAACUUCUAGAUUGCAGCGCGAACUGUCAGACUUGAGUGCGCACAACGUAGGCGGAAUUCAUGGUGUAGCGGUGAAAUGCUUAGAUAUCAUGAAGAACGCCGAUUGCGAAGGCAGCUUACGGGAGCGCAACUGACGCUGAAGCUCGAAGGUGCGGGUAUCGAACAGG